rnacentral:rRNA from 1 species
UACGUAGGUGGCGAGCGUUGUCCGGAUUUACUGGGCGUAAAGGGAGCGUAGGCGGACUUUUAAGUGAGAUGUGAAAUACCCAGGCUCAACUUGGGUGCUGCAUUUCAAACUGGAAGUCUAGAGUGCAGGAGAGGAGAAUGGAAUUCCCAGUGUAGAGGUGAAAUUCGUAGAUAUUGGGAAGAACACCAGUGGCGAAGGCGGCUACCUGGUCCGACACUGACACUGAGGCGCGAAAGCGUGGGGAGCAAACAGGAUUAGAUACCCGCGUA